rnacentral:misc_RNA from 1 species
CAACCCUCAAGCUCUGCUUGGUGUUGGGCGUCACCGGUCCCCGGUGUGCCCUAAAGCCAGUGGCGGCGCCGUCGGGCUCUAAGCGUAGUACACCUCUCGCUAUAGGGUCCCGGCGGAUGCUGGCCAGCAACCCCCCCUUUCUACAGG